GAAGUAAUCAAGAGGCGAGUGCGUAAUGCGGACGAAAUCGAGUGCAUCGAGACUUAGAACGACAGAAAGCUGAGCUAGUUGACAAUGCCUACGCCUAGCCACAGCAGCUCCCACAUACAGACUCCGCAAGCCAAGAGGCCGUGGAGGCAAAUGCAGGCAGCCAGCACACCUCGAACAGCCACCUUGACUGCGGGUGUGUCACCCUAGUCGCCAAGGAAACAUUUGAGGGAAAGUGACAGGCAAUGUGAACAGCCACUUUUCCAUGUAAACAAUACUCUUUCUCUCGGAUGACUCCUUUGCCUCGCCACGCCAGCACACUUGUGCACAAAGAUGCUGCAGAGGCACGUGCAGGUCAGAGGCAAGAAGCAGUGGCACUGGUGUCGACAUUUACCCAAUUUCUUUUUCUUACACUGAGGCAGCCAGCACACCUCGAACAGCCACCUUGACUGCGGGUAUGUUAGUAGAUUCCUGUUGUACAUAUGCUCAUAAUAAACGUCAGUAAACUUGAACUUCAUAAUAAACUUGAAGGCAAAUGGGA